GUUUGAUCCUGGCUCAGAUUGAACGCUGGCGGAAUGCUUUACACAUGCAAGUCGAACGGUAGAGGGGGCAACCCCUUGAGAGUGGCGAACGGGUGAGUAAUAUAUCGGAACGUGCCCAGUCGUGGGGGAUAACGUAGUGAAAAUUACGCUAAUACCGCAUACGAUCUAUGGAUGAAAGCGGGGGAUCGCAAGACCUCGCGCGAUUGGAGCGGCCGAUAUCAGAUUAGGUAGUUGGUGAGGUAAAGGCUCACCAAGCCGACGAUCUGUAGCUGGUCUGAGAGGACGACCAGCCACACUGGAACUGAGACACGGUCCAGACUCCUACGGGAGGCAGCAGUGGGGAAUUUUGGACAAUGGACGCAAGUCUGAUCCAGCCAUUCCGCGUGCAGGACGAAGGCCUUCGGGUUGUAAACUGCUUUUGUACAGAACGAAAAGGUCUCUAUUAAUACUAGGGGCUCAUGACGGUACUGUAAGAAUAAGCACCGGCUAACUACGUGCCAGCAGCCGCGGUAAUACGUAGGGUGCAAGCGUUAAUCGGAAUUACUGGGCGUAAAGCGUGCGCAGGCGGUUAUAUAAGACAGAUGUGAAAUCCCCGGGCUCAACCUGGGAACUGCAUUUGUGACUGUAUAGCUGGAGUGCGGCAGAGGGGGAUGGAAUUCCGCGUGUAGCAGUGAAAUGCGUAGAUAUGCGGAGGAACACCGAUGGCGAAGGCAAUCCCCUGGGCCUGCACUGACGCUCAUGCACGAAAGCGUGGGGAGCAAACAGGAUUAGAUACCCUGGUAGUCCACGCCCUAAACGAUGUCGACUGGUUGUUGGGUCUUCACUGACUCAGUACGAAGCUAACGCGUGAAGUCGACCGCCUGGGGAGUACGGCCCGCAAAGUUGAAACUCAAGGAAUUGACGGG
rnacentral:rRNA from 1 species